GGAGUUAGCCGGUGCUUCUUCUGCGAGUAACGUCACAGAUGUAAGGUAUUAACUUACACCCUUUCCUCCUCGCUGAAAGUGCUUUACAACCCGAAGGCCUUCUUCACACACGCGGCAUGGCUGCAUCAGGGUUUCCCCCAUUGUGCAAUAUUCCCCACUGCUGCCUCCCGUAGGAGUCUGGGCCGUGUCUCAGUCCCAGUGUGGCUGAUCAUCCUCUCAGACCAGCUAGGGAUCGUCGCCUAGGUGAGCCUUUACCUCACCUACUAGCUAAUCCCACCUGGGCUUAUCCAUCAGCGCAAGGCCCGAAGGUCCCCUGCUUUCCCCCGUAGGGCGUAUGCGGUAUUAGCAGUCGUUUCCAACUGUUAUCCCCCACAAAUGGGCAAAUUCCCAGGCAUUACUCACCCGUCCGCCGCUCGUCAUCUUCAAAAGCAAGCUUUUGAAAUGUUACCGCUCGACUUGCAUGUGUUAGGCCUGCCGCCAGCGUUCAAUCUGAGCCAGGAAUCGAAAACCUCUACGACUAGACGGCGGUCGUCGGACGAACGGCGACAAGU
rnacentral:rRNA from 1 species